UGCCAUCCCUCCAUCCGGUGUGCCCCGACGCUCCCUCCCACCAUUUCUUCCCCCGCGGCAGUGUCACCAUGCACCACGGAGCAAAGUCCGACGGCGGCGGCGCUGUCGGUUUGAGGAGGGAGGAGGAAGAAGGAGGGUGGAGCUGGGGCGACGGCCACACGGGAGGAGACGGGAGCAUGUCAGAGCGGCGCUCAGUUUGCUCAGGUGCCGCUGUGCAGUCGUAAGAAUACCAGAGGUCAGGCCUGAUUCGGUCUCCGUCUUGUUGGAUUCGAUCCAAAUUUCUUUUGUCAAUCUACGAGCAGGUAUAUUUGGAAUUGGAGGCACAUAUCCUGACUACUCUCUGGUUUUAUCUACUUUGGCUUGUUUGCUUGCUUCAACGCAUGGCGUUCUCAUCCAUGGGGCCUGCGGCCGGGUGGGGAGCUCCUCGCAAGUUUGUGGCGAUGGCUGAAAUAAAUUGCGUUCGUUCAUGUGGUCGACAGUGAGGAAAAAGCACAUGUUUUUUUGGUUGAGGUUGCUCUGCACUUGUUCGUAGCAAUACCAAACAAAGAUAUUGCACGAAAGCAUGAUGACGACUACGAGCCCGCCCCGUCGCCGCCGCGCCUCUGCUGCUUCCGCAGUGCACUGCUAUUCUUACACCUGCAGCCUUCACGGCCUGCCUCUACCGCUCCCGCCGGCACCCGGCCGUCUUCGCCGGAGAGACACCCACCGCCGGCACAGGCGCAUGAGCCAUCGCCGCCGGAGACAAGUCAGGGACCCGGAGCCCCCAUCCUGGUAUUGGACCUUCCAAUUCAAGGCACCUUCCACCUAAUACUCGAGUCAGUGGUUCCACAGAUUCAGGAAACGCAGGCUGAAUGGAAUCCAACGGAACUAAUGUUGCAGCUAUAGCAUCCGAUAUUUAGUGAUACAUGUUUAAUUCGGUGAUAACAGGUAUAUCAUCCCAUAUUCUUUCACUUGCAUGGUUCUGUUCCAUUGAUGUUGUAGCUGGUACUUGCCAGUCUCUAUGGAGUAUAUGUACGAGUGGAGUAAGUGAGAAGAGUACAUUAUUGUAGGUUGCAUGUACGUGUUGUAGUUACCUAAACCAUGCAAAAAUGGACAGAUUUUUCAACAUAUGAAGCUGUUAUUAGCUAACAUCUCUUCUUUUUUUCCCAUUUAGUUGCAUUACUGGAAGGUGGAUCAGGGCGCAGUGUUGAAUCAUUUUGAUUGGCCCGAGAGAAACGAGGACACUGCGACAGGCAACCUUUUACUUACCAACCUCACAAAUAUUUGAAGCGUAAGUCUCUUGUAAGAAUCGGCAGCGUUCCUACUCCGAUCGAGGAGCCGUGUUUGGUUUAUAUUGAUAUGGGCAGAACAGCCGUGCCU